GAGUUUGAUCGUGGCUCAGAUUGAACGCUGGCGGCAUGCCUUACACAUGCAAGUCGAACGGCAGCAUGAUCUAGCUUGCUAGAUUGAUGGCGAGUGGCGAACGGGUGAGUAAUACAUCGGAACGUGCCCUGUAGUGGGGGAUAACUAGUCGAAAGAUUAGCUAAUACCGCAUACGACCUGAGGGUGAAAGUGGGGGACCGCAAGGCCUCAUGCUAUAGGAGCGGCCGAUGUCUGAUUAGCUAGUUGGUGGGGUAAAGGCCCACCAAGGCGACGAUCAGUAGCUGGUCUGAGAGGACGAUCAGCCACACUGGGACUGAGACACGGCCCAGACUCCUACGGGAGGCAGCAGUGGGGAAUUUUGGACAAUUGGCGAAAGCCUGAUCCAGCAAUGCCGCGUGUGUGAAGAAGGCCU
rnacentral:rRNA from 1 species